AUUGAACGCUGGCGGCAUGCCUUACACAUGCAAGUCGAACGGUAACGCGGGGCAACCUGGCGACGAGUGGCGAACGGGUGAGUAAUAUAUCGGAACGUGCCCAGUAGUGGGGGAUAGCCCGGCGAAAGCCGGAUUAAUACCGCAUUCGACCUGAGGGUGAAAGCGGGGGAUCGCAAGACCUCGUGCUAUUGGAGCGGCCGAUAUCAGAUUAGCUAGUUGGUGGGGUAAAAGCCUACCAAGGCGACGAUCUGUAGCUGGUCUGAGAGGACGACCAGCCACACUGGGACUGAGACACGGCCCAGACUCCUACGGGAGGCAGCAGUGGGGAAUUUUGGACAAUGGGCGCAAGCCUGAUCCAGCCAUGCCGCGUGCGGGAAGAAGGCCUUCGGGUUGUAAACCGCUUUUGUCAGGGAAGAAACGCGCUGAGCUAAUACCUCGGCGUAAUGACGGUACCUGAAGAAUAAGCACCGGCUAACUACGUGCCAGCAGCCGCCGUAAUAC
rnacentral:rRNA from 1 species